AGAGUUUGAUCCUGGCUCAGGACGAACGCUGGCGGCGUGCCUAACACAUGCAAGUCGAGCGGAGACAGUGAGUAGCUUGCUAUGAGCUGUUUUAGCGGCGGACGGGUGAGUAACGCGUGAGCAACCUUUCCCAGACAGGGGAAUAACACACCGAAAGGUGUACUAAUACCGCAUAGACCACGGGAUCACAUGGUUCUGGGGUAAAAGAUUUAUCGGUUUGGGGUGGGCUCGCGUCCGAUUAGGUAGUUGGUGAGGUAACGGCCCACCAAGCCGACGAUCGGUAGCCGACCUGAGAGGGUGAUCGGCCACAUUGGGACUGAGACAUGGCCCAAACUCCUACGGGAGGCAGCAGUGGGGAAUAUUGGGCAAUGGAGGAAACUCUGACCCAGCAACGCCGCGUGGAGGAAGAAGGUUUUCGGAUCGUAAACUCCUGUCCUUGGAGACGAGUAGAAGACGGUAUCCAAGGAGGAAGCCCCGGCUAACUACGUGCCAGCAGCCGCGGUAAUACGUAGGGGGCAAGCGUUGUCCGGAAUAAUUGGGCGUAAAGGGCGCGUAGGCGGCUCGGUAAGUCUGGAGUGAAAGUCCUGCUUUUAAGGUGGGAAUUGCUUUGGAUACUGUCGGGCUUGAGUGCAGGAGAGGUUAGUGGAAUUCCCAGUGUAGCGGUGAAAUGCGUAGAGAUUGGGAGGAACACCAGUGGCGAAGGCGACUAACUGGACUGUAACUGACGCUGAGGCGCGAAAGUGUGGGGAGCAAACAGGAUUAGAUACCCUGGUAGUCCACACCGUAAACGAUGAAUGCUAGGUGUAGGGGGUAUCGACCCCUUCUGUGCCGCAGUCAACACAAUAAGCAUUCCGCCUGGGGAGUACGGCCGCAAGGUUGAAACUCAAAGGAAUUGACGGGGGCCCGCACAAGCAGCGGAGCAUGUGGUUUAAUUCGACGCAACGCGAAGAACCUUACCAGGUCUUGACAUCCACUUAAACUUACAGAGAUGUAAGGUGUGCUUGCACAAAGUGAGACAGGUGGUGCAUGGUUGUCGUCAGCUCGUGUCGUGAGAUGUUGGGUUAAGUCCCGCAACGAGCGCAACCCUUAUCUUCAGUUACUAACGCGUGAGGGUGAGGACUCUGAAGAGACUGCCGGGGACAACUCGGAGGAAGGUGGGGACGACGUCAAAUCAUCAUGCCCCUUAUGACCUGGGCUACACACGUGCUACAAUGGCCACGACAGAGAGAAGCGAAAUCGCAAGGUAGAGCGGAACUCAAAAAAGUGGUCCCAGUUCGGAUUGUGGGCUGCAACCCGCCCACAUGAAGUCGGAGUUGCUAGUAAUCGCGGAUCAGCAUGCCGCGGUGAAUACGUUCCCGGGCCUUGUACACACCGCCCGUCACACCAUGGGAGUUGGGAGUGCCCAAAGCCGGUGAGGCAACCGCAAGGAGCCAGCCGUCUAAGGCAAGACCAAUGACUGGGGUGAAGUCGUAACAAGGUA
rnacentral:rRNA from 1 species